CUUAGAGGAGAGGAGGGUCAAGGAA
rnacentral:piRNA from 1 species